UACGUAGGGCGCGAGCGUUGUCCGGAAUUACUGGGCGUAAAGAGCGUGUAGGCGGCCAUACAGGUCCGUUGUGAAAACUGGAGGCUCAACUUCCAGACGUCGACGGAAACCGUGUGGCUAGAGUCCGGAAGAGGAGAGUGGAAUUCCUGGUGUAGCGGUGAAAUGCGCAGAUAUCAGGAAGAACACCAAUGGCGAAGGCAGCUCUCUGGGACGGUACUGACGCUGAGACGCGAAAGCGUGGGGAGCGAACAGG
rnacentral:rRNA from 1 species